rnacentral:rRNA from 1 species
GACGAACCGAGCGAACGUUAUUCGGAAUCACUGGGCUUAAAGGGCGCGUAGGCGGGCGAUCAAGUCAGGGGUGAAAGCCCCAGCUCAACUGGGGAAGUGCCUCUGAUACUGGUCGCCUCGAGGGAGGUAGGGGCGUGCCGGAACUUCCGGUGGAGCGGUGAAAUGCGUAGAUAUCGGAAGGAACAUCGGUGGCGAAAGCGGCGCGCUGGACCUCUUCUGACGCUGAGGCGCGAAAGCCAGGGGAGCGAACGGG